CGCGGCCUAUCAGCUUGUUGGUGAGGUAACGGCUCACCAAGGCAUCGACGGGUAGCUGGUCUGAGAGGACGAUCAGCCACACUGGGACUGAGACACGGCCCAGACUCCCACGGGAGGCAGCAGUAGGGAAUCUUGCGCAAUGGGCGAAAGCCUGACGCAGCAACGCCGCGUGGGGGAUGAAUGCCUUCGGGUUGUAAACCCCUUUCAGCAGGGACGAAAAUGACGGUACCUGCGGAAGAAGCUCCGGCCAACUACGUGCCAGCAGCCGCGGUAAUACGUAGGGAGCGAGCGUUGUCCGGAAUUAUUGGGCGUAAAGAGCUCGUAGGCGGUUCAGUAAGUCGGGUGUGAAAACUCAAGGCUCAACCUUGAGACGCCACUCGAUACUGCUGUGACUUGAGUCCGGUAGAGGAGUGUGGAAUUCCUGGUGUAGCGGUGAAAUGCGCAGAUAUCAGGAGGAACACCAGCGGCGAAGGCGGCACUCUGGGCCGGUACUGACGCUGAGGAGCGAAAGCAUGGGGAGCAAACAGGAUUAGAUACCCUGGUAGUCCAUGCCGUAAACGUUGGGCACUAGGUAUGGGAUCAUAUCAACGGAUUCCGUGCCGUAGCUAACGCAUUAAGUGCCCCGCCUGGGGAGUACGG
rnacentral:rRNA from 1 species